ensembl:snoRNA SNORD29 Small nucleolar RNA SNORD29
UUUCUGUGAUGAAUCAAACUAGCUCACUAUGACUGACAGUGAAAACACAUGAACACCUGAGAAAC